rnacentral:sRNA from 1 species
UGAGUGAACGGGCACUUGCUCAGAAAAGACUCAGUGAGAAUGCAUUUGACCUUGAAGCCAUGAGCAUGUUAAAUAGAGCUCAGGAAAGGAUUGAUGCCUGGGCUCAGCUGAACUCUAUUCCUGGCCAGUUCACAGGAAGUACAGGAGUACAGGUUUUGACACAAGAACAGUUGGCCAAUACUGGUGCCCAAGCCUGGAUUAAAAAGGUACACAGUAUAUGCACAUAUGAAAGUGUCGAACAAAAAGUUUAAAUUUUUUGGAAACUGUUUAUUAAAACUGCAUGAAAAGACCAGUGACUCUAACCAAAGUUCCAAGUAAAUUUGCUAUGUGUAUAUGCUCCAGGGUGGACACUGAAGACGACUGGAUUCAUGAGAAAAUGGCAAAUGUAUAAAUGUGGCUCA